CCUACGGGUGGCAGCAGUGGGGAAUAUUGCGCAAUGGGCGAAAGCCUGACGCAGCGACGCCGCGUGAAGGAAGAAGGCUUUCGGGUUGUAAACUUCUUUUCUCAGGGACGAAGCAAGUGACGGUACCUGAGGAAUAAGCCACGGCUAACUACGUGCCAGCAGCCGCGGUAAUACGUAGGUGGCAAGCGUUAUCCGGAUUUACUGGGUGUAAAGGGCGUGUAGGCGGGAAAGCAAGUCAGAUGUGAAAACCAUGGGCUCAACCUGUGGCCUGCAUUUGAAACUGUUUUUCUUGAGUACUGGGGAGGCAGACGGAAUUCCUAGUGUAGCGGUGAAAUGCGUAGAUAUUAGGAGGAACACCAGUGGCGAAGGCGGUCUGCUGGACAGCAACUGACGCUGAGGCGCGAAAGCGUGGGGAGCAAACAGGAUUAGAUACCCUUGUAGUC
rnacentral:rRNA from 1 species